CAAAAUGUGACUAAAUUAGUAAAGUACCUCCCUUACACUGAGGAAAUACCUGUGCAACCCGGGUCAUUUUGA
rnacentral:tRNA from 1 species